AGAGCGAACGCUGGCGGCAGGCUUAACACAUGCAAGUCGAGCGCCCCGCAAGGGGAGCGGCAGACGGGAGAGUAACACGUGGGAACGUACCCUUCGGUUCGGAACAACCCAGGGAAACUUGGGCUAAUACCGGAUACGUCCGUAAGGAGAAAGAUUUAUCGCCGAAAGAUCGGCCCGCGUCUGAUUAGCUAGUUGGUGAGGUAACGGCUCACCAAGGCGACGAUCAGUAGCUGGUCUGAGAGGAUGAUCAGCCUCACUGGGACUGAGACACGGCCCAGACUCCUACGGGAGGCAGCAGUGGGGAAUAUUGGACAAUGGGCGCAAGCCUGAUCCAGCCAUGCCGCGUGGGUGAGUGAAGGCCCUAGGGUUGUAAAGCCCGUUUCGGCGGGAAGAUAAUGACGGUACCCGCAGAAGAGCCCGGCUAACUUCGCGCCAGCAGCCGC
rnacentral:rRNA from 1 species